rnacentral:rRNA from 1 species
CCCCCUGAAUUGUAGUCUAGGAAGGCGCCAUCGGCCAAGCCCGUCGCUCAAAUCCCUUGGAACAGGGUAUCGGAGAAGGUGAGAAUCCUGUGCCGUGGCGGAGCUUGGCCGCACGAUGCGCUCUUGUCGAGUCGGGCUGCUUGGGAUUGCAGCUUGAAGUGGGUGGUAAAUUCCAUCUAAAGCUAAAUAUUGGCGAGAGACCGAUAGCGAACAAGUACCGUGAGGGAAAGAUGCAAAGAACUUUGAAAAGAGAGUUAAAAAGUGCUUGAAAUUGGCAGGAGGAAACCCGGAUGUGCCUGGCAUUGCCGGUCCACUUCAGCAGGCUGCGGGGUUGAUCGGGACCGCAAGGCCCGUGUCCUGUAGCGGCCUGUGCACUGUGGCCGGUGGUCCAGCCGCGCCGUUGGCGGCGAUACACGCCUUGGGGCAGGGCUUCGGUGACCCCCGAGGAACAUCGCCGCCGGCGUCCCGGCUGGGGGAAUGGGCACCUCCGACCCGUCUAGAAACACGGACCAAGGAGUCUGACACGUGUGCGAGUACCCGGGUGGCAAGCCCGCGUGCGCAAUGAAAGUGAAGGGCGUGCCCCGCCAACCGACCUUGAUCUUCUGUGAAGGGUUUGAGUGGAGCACAUCUGUCGGGACCCGAAAGAUGGUGAACUAUGCCUGAGGAGGGUGAAGCCAGAGGAAACUCUGGUGGAGGCUCGUAGCGAUACUGACGUGCAAAUCGUUCGUCGAACUUGGGUAUAGGGGCGAAAGACUAAUCGAACCAUCUAGUAGCUGGUUCCCUCCGAAGUUUCCCUCAGGAUAGCUUGAACGCCACGGUUUUGU